AGCAUGAUGGCAGAGUGGUUAAUGCGACAGUCUUGAAAACUGUAGUCUACGGACUCAUGGGUUCGAAUCCCAUUCAUGCUG
rfam:Monosiga brevicollis mitochondrion, complete genome.